GUUGCUGAAGGAAACGGAGAAGCUCUCAAGUGAAAUCCUCAACUUACGGAGCGAACGCACCCGGCUCAUCCUGCAGAACGAGGUUGCACAAAAGAACCACCAAGAGAUCGUGGCCAUAUAUAGGACUCACCUGCUCAAUGCAGCCCAGGGGUACAUGGAUGAAGAGGUCCACGCCAUGCUAUUGCGGAU